rnacentral:rRNA from 1 species
ACUCCUACGGGAGGCAGCAGUGGGGAAUAUUGCACAAUGGGCGCAAGCCUGAUGCAGCCAUGCCGCGUGUGUGAAGAAGGCCUCGGUUGUAAGCACUUUCAGUUGUGAGGAAGGUGGUGUCGUUAAUAGCGGCAUCAUUUUGACGUUUAGCAACAGAAGAAGCACCGGCUAACUCCGUGCCAGCAGCCGCGGUAAUACGGAGGGUGCGAGCGUUAAUCGGAAUUACUGGGCGUAAAGCGCAUGCAGGUGGUUUGUUAAGUCAGAUGUGAAAGCCCGGGGCUCAACCUCGGAACUGCAUUUGAAACUGGCAGACUAGAGUACUGUAGAGGGGGUAGAAUUUCAGGUGUAGCGGUGAAAUGCGUAGAGAUCUGAAGGAAUACCGGUGGCGAAGGCGGCCCCUGGACAGAUACUGACACUCAGAUGCG